rnacentral:lncRNA from 1 species
CAGUAAUUUCAAGUGGCAAUGUGGAAUGUCCAGACAUACAUGGGAACCGAUGCAAUUGCCACCCUCAGUGCAAACACGUCCAUGAUUUCUCUGCUCAGCAGGUGUUAAGUUUGGUAUUUGAGAAGAUAAAUCAAGAUAAAACAGUGGCUGCACUUAACUGUUCCACUUGGAAGUGAAGAUAGGGAUAGAUACCUACUGCUCAUUUGUUACAAGCAGAAGGGAAAGCAUUUAGACGUUAAUUUUUUGCUAGGUGUACAAAUUACAUAAGUCAUAUAAAGCUGCGAAAAAUAGUUUGCAGGCUCAAUAAUGUAUUUGUGUUCCAGAAAAAAGAGGCAAAAAUUAGUAUUAAGAGUAUUUUCUUUCUUCUCUCCCAACUUCAAACUAUUGGACUGUGUCAUUACAGGGCACCGACUGACAGAUGUUCCUGGUUUGAAAAGGAAGAAUUAAAUGAGUGUGAAAAAACCUGGCUUUUGCUACUGAAAGACAUCAGUCAAGAUUCACAGUGCACAAACUGGGACACAGUGCCCAGCUUUCCAGAGUUCUUGGAAAAGAAACAACAGGAAAAGAGUCCAGAACACCAGGAAGUCUUUACAGUCGGAACAAAAGACUUUCAGUGGGUAUCAUUCCCAUCUUUUCACAAAGAAAAAUGUCUGAGCCCCAAGGAUCUGAGCUCCCAGCAGCCAACACAGAGCCAGAGCAAUGAAUUACAUAAAGGACAGGGCCAAACAGAUAAACUGAAGAGUUUAUCACCCACAGCUGAGAAAACCUGCAGGGGAACCAGUACAGAUCAAACCAAAACUGCAUCUGGGGCAGACACAGAAGGUGUUUCAGAGCUGGAUGUGAAUCCCAAGUCAUGUAAACUCCCUGGGCGCAGCAGCUCAGCACAGCCCUCGGCGUUGGUACCAAGCCCUGCAGAAGCUCUGAGCCCUCAGCAGCACCACACAGGGACUGUACAGAACAGCAGGGCAGGCAGGAAAGGAAGGGGUGAGGAAAAGCCUCAAAUCCAGACACAGCAGGGGGAGCUUCCAGCAGGGGAGACCACGGGGGUGCCUGCGGAGAAGCCUCGGCUCGGGAGCACUCCUGGGGCUGAGAGCCACGAGGAGAAGGUGGAAAACCCGAGUGAAGCAGCUUCAGCUCUUGACAGUUGUCCAAUGUGUCUGAUGCAGUUCAGUGGAAGGUAA